AGUGAACGCUGGCGGUAGGCCUAACACAUGCAAGUCGAACGGCAGCACAGUAAGAGCUUGCUCUUACGGGUGGCGAGUGGCGGACGGGUGAGGAAUACAUCGGAAUCUACUUUUUCGUGGGGGAUAACGUAGGGAAACUUACGCUAAUACCGCAUACGACCUACGGGUGAAAGCAGGGGACCUUCGGACCUUGCGCGAUUGAAUGAGCCGAUGUCGGAUUAGCUAGUUGGCGGGGUAAAGGCCCACCAAGGCGACGAUCCGUGGCUGGUCUGAGAGGAUGAUCAGCCACACUGGAACUGAGACACGGUCCAGACUCCUACGGGAGGCAGCAGUGGGGAAUAUUGGACAAUGGGCGCAAGCCUGAUCCAGCCAUACCGCGUGGGUGAAGAAGGCCUUCGGGUUGUAAAGCCCUUUUGUUGGGAAAGAAAAGCAGCAGGUUAAUACCCCGCUGUUCUGACGGUACCCAAAGAAUAAGCACCGGCUAACUUCGUG
rnacentral:rRNA from 1 species